UCCAGGCUGGCACAUCUUAACACGUCUCUUCCUUUCUGACGAAGAUUUUUUUUUUUUUCUUGUUUUAAAUUUUGUUAUUCCAUCUCUCACAUGCUUUCCUAGUGGCUUGUUUAUGCCAUCUCUGCUCCUCUUUACACCGUUGCAGUUACCUUCGCUUUCCACUCGUUAAUCCGAAAUUCGCAGCUUGAGUUUCUCCCGUCUCGCUGUAGAUCUCUCCCUCUCCUUCCUACGGAGGGUUACAGGGUUUUGUCGCUGCUUCAGAUCUUGCAGCGAUUCGAAUCCACUGUGAGCUGGGAUCUGCUUCUCCAUCGGUGAUCUGAUUACAUCCACAGCUGAGCCACCAUGGCGGCCGCCAACGCUCCCAUCACCAUGAAAGAGGCCUUAACUUUACCCAGCAUUGGGAUUAAUCCGCAAUUCAUUACAUUUACUCAUGUUACUAUGGAGUCCGAUAAGUAUAUAUGUGUGCGGGAAACAGCGCCACAGAAUAGCGUUGUUAUUAUUGAUAUGAAUAUGCCGAUGCAGCCUUUGAGGAGGCCUAUCACUGCAGACUCAGCCCUUAUGAAUCCUAAUUCUAGAAUCCUUGCUUUGAAAGCCCAACUCCAAGGAACCAAUCAGGAUCAUUUGCAAAUAUUUAACAUUGAGAUGAAAGCAAAAAUGAAAUCUUUUCAAAUGCCUGAGCAGAUCGUGUUUUGGAAGUGGAUUACAGUAAAGAUGCUGGGCCUGGUGACUCAGACCUCAGUGUAUCAUUGGUCCAUUGAAGGUGAUUCUGAGCCAGUAAAGAUGUUUGAUCGAACAGCUAAUAUGGCAAACAACCAGAUAAUAAACUAUCGAUGUGACUCUUCUGAAAAGUGGUUGGUUUUGAUUGGAAUUGCUCCUGGUUCUCCCGAGAGGCCACAAUUGGUUAAAGGGAAUAUGCAACUUUUUUCCGUUGAUCAGCAGCGCAGUCAAGCUCUUGAAGCACAUGCUGCAUCAUUUGCGCAAUUUAAGCUCCCAGGAAAUGAGAAUCCUUCUAUUCUUAUUUCCUUUGCCACAAAGACCCUCAAUGCUGGACAGAUUACAUCAAAGUUGCAUGUUAUUGAGCUUGGUGCCCAGCCAGGGAAGCCUUCUUUUACAAAGAAACAAGCAGAUCUCUUCUUCCCCCCAGAUUUUGCCGAUGACUUUCCAGUUGCAAUGCAGAUAUCCCACAAAUACAGUUUGAUCUACGUGAUCACCAAGCUUGGGCUAUUAUUUGUUUAUGACUUGGAGACUGCUACUGCGGUUUAUAGAAAUAGAAUUAGUCCAGAUCCAAUAUUUUUAACAGCAGAAGCUUCGUCGGUGGGAGGUUUUUAUGCUAUCAAUAGGCGUGGACAGGUGUUGUUGGCUACUGUAAAUGAUCAAACAAUUGUGCCAUUUGUUAGUGGCCAGUUGAACAAUUUGGAGCUAGCUGUCAAUCUUGCCAAAAGAGGGAAUCUUCCUGGAGCUGAGCAGCUUGUUGUCCAACGUUUCCAAGAACUAUUUGCCCAAACGAAGUACAAAGAGGCUGCAGAACUUGCCGCUGAGUCUCCACAAGGAAUCCUUCGUACGCCUGACACAGUUGCCAAAUUCCAGAGUGUUCCUGUCCAAGCUGGGCAAACGCCACCUUUGUUGCAGUAUUUUGGGACACUUUUGACAAAAGGAAAGCUCAAUGCUUUUGAGUCGUUGGAAUUAUCACGCCUUGUUGUGAACCAGAACAAAAAGAAUCUUUUGGAGAAUUGGUUGGCGGAGGAUAAGCUGGAAUGCAGUGAGGAGCUAGGGGAUCUUGUGAAGACUGUGGAUAAUGAUCUUGCACUGAAAAUAUAUAUUAAAGCUAGAGCAACUCCAAAAGUCGUUGCUGCUUUUGCUGAACGGAGGGAGUUUGACAAAAUUUUAAUAUACUCAAAACAGGUUGGGUACAGUCCAGAUUAUCUAUUUCUUCUGCAGACAAUUCUUCGUUCAGAUCCUCAGGGAGCUGUUAAUUUUGCGUUAAUGAUGUCUCAAAUGGAGGGAGGUUGUCCAGUUGAUUACAAUACCAUUACAGAUCUAUUUCUUCAGAGGAAUCUGAUCCGCGAGGCAACGGCUUUCCUAUUAGAUGUUUUGAAGCCAAAUCUUCCUGAACAUAGUUUCCUUCAAACAAAGGUCCUGGAAAUCAAUCUGGUAACUUUUCCAAAUGUUGCUGAUGCUAUAUUAGCUAAUGGAAUGUUCAGCCAUUAUGACCGUCCUCGAAUUGCCCAACUUUGUGAAAAAGCUGGUCUUUAUGUUCGAGCUCUGCAACAUUACACAGAAUUGCCAGAUAUUAAGCGUGUCAUUGUGAACACACAUGCAAUUGAGCCACAGUCACUUGUGGAGUUUUUUGGCACUCUGUCACGUGAAUGGGCUUUGGAGUGUAUGAAGGACCUUUUGUUGGUCAAUCUAAGAGGAAAUCUUCAGAUAAUUGUGCAGGUUGCCAAGGAAUAUUGUGAACAGUUGGGUGUUGAUGCAUGCAUAAAGAUUUUUGAGCAAUUUAAGUCAUAUGAAGGAUUGUACUUUUUCCUUGGCUCAUAUUUGAGCUCCAGUGAGGACCCUGACAUUCACUUCAAGUACAUUGAAGCAGCUGCUAAAACUGGACAAAUCAAAGAGGUUGAGCGUGUGACCAGAGAGUCGAAUUUCUAUGACCCUGAGAAAACAAAGAACUUUUUAAUGGAAGCAAAGCUUCCAGAUGCGCGGCCCCUAAUUAAUGUCUGUGACCGUUUUGGAUUUGUUCCAGAUCUCACACACUAUCUGUACUCCAACAACAUGCUUCGUUACAUCGAAGGUUAUGUUCAAAAGGUGAACCCAGGGAAUGCUCCUUUAGUAGUGGGGCAGCUGCUAGAUGAUGAGUGUCCUGAAGAUUUUAUCAAAGGCUUGAUUCUUUCUGUACGUUCUUUGCUUCCGGUGGAGCCCCUUGUGGAGGAAUGUGAGAAGAGGAAUCGACUUCGUUUGCUCACUCAGUUCCUUGAGCAUCUUGUGAGCGAGGGAAGCCAAGAUGUUCAUGUUCACAAUGCUCUGGGGAAAAUUAUCAUUGAUAGCAACAACAAUCCAGAGCACUUCCUUACCACCAACCCCUAUUAUGAUUCCCGUGUUGUGGGUAAAUAUUGUGAGAAACGUGAUCCUACCCUGGCUGUUGUGGCAUACCGGCGAGGACAAUGUGAUGAAGAGCUUAUCAAUGUCACAAAUAAAAAUUCUUUGUUCAAACUGCAAGCAAGAUAUGUGGUUGAAAGGAUGGAUGCUGAUCUUUGGGAGAAAGUUCUUAACCCUGAAAAUGUCUAUAGAAGACAGCUCAUUGAUCAAGUUGUAUCUACUGCUUUGCCCGAAAGCAAGAGCCCCGAACAAGUUUCUGCAGCUGUUAAGGCUUUCAUGACAGCCGAUCUGCCUCAUGAAUUAAUUGAGCUCCUUGAAAAGAUUGUGCUUCAGAACUCCGCAUUCAGUGGGAACUUUAAUCUGCAAAACCUGCUCAUUUUGACAGCCAUCAAAGCAGAUCCAUCUAGAGUUAUGGAUUACAUUAAUAGACUGGAUAACUUUGAUGGACCUGCAGUUGGGGAAGUGGCUGUGGAAGCCCAGCUGUACGAGGAAGCAUUUGCAAUUUUCAAGAAGUUUAAUUUGAAUGUUCAGGCUGUCAAUGUCUUAUUGGAUAAUAUCCAAAACAUUGAACGGGCAGUCGAGUUUGCAUUCCGCGUAGAAGAAGAUGCUGUUUGGAGCCAGGUAGCCAAGGCUCAACUCAGGGAGGGCCUGGUGAGCGAUGCCAUUGAGUCUUUCAUUCGAGCAGAUGAUAUGACUCAAUUCUUGGACGUAAUUCGUGCUGCUGAGGAUGCAAAUGUUUACCAUGACUUGGUGAGAUACCUUCUGAUGGUUAGGCAGAAGGCGAAAGAGCCCAAGGUGGACAGUGAGCUCAUCUAUGCAUAUGCAAAGAUCGAUAGGCUGAGUGAAAUUGAGGAAUUCAUUCUCAUGCCUAACGUAGCUAAUCUCCAAAAUGUCGGUGAUCGCUUAUAUGAUGAAGCCCUGUAUGAGGCUGCCAAAAUUAUAUUUGCUUUUAUAUCUAACUGGGCCAAGUUGGCUAGCACUCUUGUGAAACUUAGACAGUUCCAAGGUGCCGUUGAUGCGGCAAGGAAAGCUAACAGCUCAAAAACAUGGAAGGAAGUUUGCUUUGCUUGUGUCGAUGCAGAGGAAUUCCGCUUAGCUCAAAUAUGUGGUCUCAACAUUAUUAUACAGGUGGAUGACUUGGAAGAGGUCAGCGAGUAUUACCAGAAUAGGGAUGCUUUAAUGAGCUAAUCUCCCUUAUGGAGAGCGGUUUAGGUUUAGAACGAGCACAUAUGGGCAUCUUCACUGAGUUGGGAGUUCUGUAUGCUAGAUACCGUCCUGAGAAGCUUAUGGAGCAUAUUAAGUUGUUCUCAACCCGUCUCAAUAUUCCAAAGCUUAUACGAGCCUGUGAUGAACAACAGCAUUGGCAGGAACUUACCUAUCUGUAUAUCCAAUAUGAUGAGUUUGAUAACGCUGCAACCACUAUAAUGAAUCAUUCCCCAGAGGCAUGGGAUCACAUGCAGUUCAAGGAUGUUGCAGUUAAAGUUGCUAAUGUGGAGCUAUACUAUAAGGCUGUGCACUUCUACUUGCAAGAACAUCCAGACCUUAUUAAUGAUCUUCUCAAUGUGCUUGCACUUCGUGUGGACCAUACACGCGUUGUUGACAUUAUGCGAAAGGCGGGUCACCUGCAUCUUGUGAAGCCAUACAUGAUUGCAGUUCAGAGUAACAAUGUGGCUGCCGUGAAUGAGGCUUUGAACGGGAUAUAUGUUGAGGAGGAAGACUACGAGAGAUUGCGUGAAUCAAUUGAUUUGCACGAUAACUUUGAUCAAAUUGGCCUUGCGCAGAAGAUUGAGAAACACGAGCUUCUUGAAAUGAGACGUGUUGCUGCAUAUAUAUACAAGAAGGCAGGCAGGUGGAAGCAGUCCAUUGCAUUGUCAAAGAAAGACAACCUUUACACAGAUGCCAUGGAGACAGCCUCACAAUCUGGUGACCGUGAACUUGCGGAAGAGUUGCUUGUUUACUUCAUUGAAAAGGGAAAGAAAGAAUGCUUUGCUUCAUGCCUCUUUGUUUGUUAUGAUUUGAUCCGGCCAGACAUUGCUCUUGAACUUGCCUGGAUGAAUAAGAUGAUCGACUUUGCUUUCCCCUAUCUGUUGCAGUUUAUUCGAGAAUACACAGGCAAAGUUGAUGAACUUGUGAAGUACAAAAUUGAGGCUCAGAAUGAGGUUAAGGCUAAAGAGAAGGAAGAUAAGGAUGUAAUUGCGCAACAGAACAUGUAUGCUCAGUUGCUGCCUCUAGCUUUGCCUGCACCUCCAAUGCCAGGUAUGGGAAGUGCACCAGGUAUGGGAGGUUUUGCUCCACCACAACCUAUGGGUGGAAUGGGGAUGCCUCCUAUGCCACCCUUUGGCAUGCCUCCAAUGAGCAGCUUCUGAUAUGCAGGCAACAAGUUCAAGCAGCUGAUGUUGAGAACAUGGAGGGGCGAGGACAAUCUAGCAACAUGCUUGUGCUAUUCUGUGGAGUUUUGGUAACUCCUUUUUUUUCUGUUGCAGUGGAGGUGUAGUUGAAAUAAUAUUUUUUUUUUCCUGUUUUUAUAAGGUUUGUGGAUAUUUGUGUAAUAUUCUUUUUGUAGUAGAGGCAUUUUUUGGCUGCUGAUAGAGGGCAAGCCGCUGAUAUUCUGUAUUUUACUAUUUUUGUUAUGGUCUAGGAAUCGUUCAUUUAUAAUACGAUAAAAACCCUAUUGGUCAUCA